rnacentral:rRNA from 1 species
UACGGGGGGGGCAAGCGUUGUUCGGAAUUACUGGGCGUAAAGGGCUCGUAGGUGGCCAACUAAGUCAGACGUGAAAUCCCUCGGCUUAACCGGGGAACUGCGUCUGAUACUGGAUGGCUUGAGUUUGGGAGAGGGACGCGGAAUUCCAGGUGUAGCGGUGAAAUGCGUAGAUAUCUGGAGGAACACCGGUGGCGAAGGCGGCGUCCUGGACCAACACUGACGCUGAGAAGCGAAAGCAUGGGGAGCGAACAGG